AGGUUAACCGUAUAGGGGAGCCGUAGAGAAAUCGAGUCUUAAUAGGGCGUUUAGUUGCUGGGUAUAGACCCGAAACCAGGCGAUCUAUCCAUGAGCAGGUUGAAGGUUGGGUAACACUAACUGGAGGACCGAACCCACUGUCGUUGAAAAGCCAGGGGAUGACUUGUGGAUAGGGGGGAAAGGCUAAUCAAGCCUGGUGAUAGCUGGUUCUCCCCGAAAGCUAUUUAGGUAGCGCCUCG
rnacentral:rRNA from 1 species